UACGGGGGGGAGCAAGCGUUGUUCGGAUUUACUGGGCGUAAAGGGUGCGUAGGCGGCGCGGUAAGUCGGGUGUGAAAUCUUGGAGCUUAACUCCGAAACUGCAUUCGAUACUGCCGUGCUUGAGGACUGGAGAGGAGAUUGGAAUUCACGGUGUAGCAGUGAAAUGCGUAGAUAUCGUGAGGAAGACCAGUGGCGAAGGCGGAUUUCUGGACAGUUCCUGACGCUGAGGCGCGAAGGCCAGGGGAGCAAACGGG
rnacentral:rRNA from 1 species